AUUGAACGCUGGCGGCAUGCCUUACACAUGCAAGUCGAACGGCAGCACGGGAGCAAUCCUGGUGGCGAGUGGCGAACGGGUGAGUAAUAUAUCGGAACGUGCCCAGUCGUGGGGAUAACGUAGAGAAAUUUACGCUAAUACCGCAUACGAUCUAAGGAUGAAAGCGGGGGACCGUAAGGCCUCGCGCGAUUGGAGCGGCUGAUAUCAGAUUAGGUUGUUGGUGAGGUAAAAGCUCACCAAGCCGACGAUCUGUAGCUGGUUUGAGAGAACGACCAGCCACACUGGGACUGAGACACGGCCCAGACUCCUACGGGAGGCAGCAGUGGGGAAUUUUGGACAAUGGGCGAAAGCCUGAUCCAGCAAUGCCGCGUGCAGGAAGAAGGCCUUCGGGUUGGUUAAACGUAGUACGUUUCGUUACGGUAAC
rnacentral:rRNA from 1 species